rnacentral:rRNA from 1 species
UACGGAGGGUGCGAGCGUUGUCCGGAAUCACUGGGCGUAAAGGGCGCGUAGGCGGCCUGGUAAGUAGGGGGGUGAAAUCCUGCGGCUUAACCGCAGGGCUGCCUUCUAAACUGUCAGGCUCGAGCACGGUAGAGGCAGAUGGAAUUCCCGGUGUAGCGGUGGAAUGCGUAGAUAUCGUAAGGAAGGCCGGUGGCGAAAGCGAGCCUCUGGACAGUUACUGACGCUGAGGAGCGAAAGCGUGGGGAGCGAACAGG